rnacentral:rRNA from 1 species
UACGGGGGGGGCAAGCGUUGUUCGGAAUUACUGGGCGUAAAGGGCUCGUAGGCGGCCAACUAAGUCAGACGUGAAAUCCCUCGGCUUAACCGGGGAACUGCGUCUGAUACUGGAUGGCUUGAGUUUGGGAGAGGGAUGCGGAAUUCCUAGUGUAGAGGUGAAAUUCGUAGAUAUUAGGAAGAACACCGGUGGCGAAGGCGGCCCACUGGUCCGGUACUGACGCUGAGGUGCGAAAGCGUGGGGAGCAAACAGG